GAUGAACGCUGGCGGCGUGCCUAAUACAUGCAAGUCGAGCGAAUGGAUUAAGAGCUUGCUCUUAUGAAGUUAGCGGCGGACGGGUGAGUAACACGUGGGUAACCUGCCCAUAAGACUGGGAUAACUCCGGGAAACCGGGGCUAAUACCGGACAACAUUUUGAACCGCAUGGUUCGAAAUUGAAAGGCGACUUCGGCUGUCACUUAUGGAUGGACCCGCGUCGCAUUAGCUAGUUGGUGAGGUAACGGCUCACCAAGGCAACGAUGCGUAGCCGACCUGAGAGGGUGAGCGGCCACACUGGGACUGAGACACGGCCCAGACUCCUACGGGAGGCAGCAGUAGGGAAUCUUCCGCAAUGGACGAAAGUCUGACGGAGCAACGCCGCGUGAGUGAUGAAGGCUUUCGGGUCGUAAAACUCUGUUGUUAGGGAAGAACAAGUGCUAGUUGAAUAAGCUGGCACCUUGACGGUACCUAACCAGAAAGCCACGGCUAACUACGUGCCAGCCGCCGCCGUAA
rnacentral:rRNA from 1 species